UGUGUAGAAAUGAACUCUCAUCAGAGUUUCAAAGGAAUUAAUGUUUUUUGGUAAAAUGUGCUAAUGUAAAGAGUUAGAAGAUUAGUGAUACAUAAUGAAAGCAAUGCAUUCUUUCGCAUGGAAAUGGGAAUAUAUAAAUGUCCUGCAGGUGAUUGGCGUUGUAGCAAUUUUAUUGAAGAUUAAAGUUUGAUUGACCUUUGUUAGGGUGAUUAACCCUUCUGAAAUUAAAAGCCAGAGCUGAAUUAUCCUGCUCAAUUUAAAUGCAAA
ensembl:misc_RNA